UACGUAGGCGGAAAAUUAAGUCAGUAGUGAAAUCCUGCAGCUUAACUGUAGAACUGUUAUUGAUACUGGUUUUCUUGAAUAUAGUUGAGGUAGGCGGAAUGUGUAAUGUAGCGGUGAAAUGCUUAGAUAUUACACAGAACACCGAUUGCGAAGGCAGCUUACUAAGCUAUGAUUGACGCUGAGGUACGAAAGCGUGGGGAGUGAACAGGAUUAGAUACCCUGGUAGUCC
rnacentral:rRNA from 1 species